CCAAGCAGCCGGCAUUUCACAAGAGGACAGAGCUGAAUUUCUGUGUGUCUGCACCCUCCCCAGCUACAUUCCAGGAUUAGCAAUGAACAAAAAGACUAUCUGUGGUUUAAAAGCAGAAAAUUGCCUGUAGCAUGAAACAAUUAUGGAGCAGAGCCAGGAUCCAACACAGGUCUGUCUGGCUCCACUCCCUGGAAAGUGUUUCUCCUUUAUGCCCACAAUGGCUGCCAGAACCAGGGAUUGAACUCAGGCCCUUGUGCUUGCCAGGGAAGUGCUUAUUCUACUGAGCCAUCUCUCCAGCCCCAACAAUAACCCUUCAAAGU